UACGUAGGUGGCAAGCGUUGUCCGGAUUUACUGGGCGUAAAGAGCGCGCAGGCGGUCGUUCAAGUCGCGUGUGAAAGCCCCCGGCUCAACUGGGGAGGGUCACGCGAUACUGAUCGACUCGAAGGCAGGAGAGGGAAGUGGAAUUCCCGGUGUAGUGGUGAAAUGCGUAGAUAUCGGGAGGAACACCGACGGCGAAGGCAGCUUACUGGGCCGAUACUGACGCUGAGGAGCGAAAGCGUGGGGAGCGAACAGG
rnacentral:rRNA from 1 species